rnacentral:lncRNA from 1 species
AUUGAUUGCAUGAAUAAAUUAAGGUUAAAUUUUAUCUUUAUUGCAGAGGGAAGUGUGAAGAAGAUGCAGUUGGAAUCCAUUUUCCUGAAGACUGUCUUUAAGAUGAUUCCAUUCUCAUUUAUGUCAGGGUUGAUUGAAUUUAUUCUUUAAAAGAAAAUGGAUUUAAAUUUGAUCUUGGCCCACGACCCCUGCCAUGGCUGCUUCUACUAUACUCAGUUGGCCAGGUAAGGGUAUCAUGGGUAGGA